AACCCGACUACAUGAAGCUGGAAUCGCUAGUAAUCGCAAAUCAGAAUGUUGCGGUGAAUACGUUCCCGGGUCUUGUACACACCGCCCGUCACACCAUGGGAGUUGGAAAUGCCCGAAGUCAGUGACCCAACCGAAAGGAGGGAGCUGCCGAAGGCAGGUCCGGUAACUGGGGUGAAGUCGUAACAAGGUACC
rnacentral:rRNA from 1 species